CUAGCGUAUAUAUGACUAGCUUUAUCACAACCGUCCUUCUGUAGCUCCGGCAAUAUGCUAACAAUGUUUCUGAUUGCCACACGCCUUUUCAUUUUCCUCUUGGUACCAGAUCCCUGCAGCUCUAUCACAGUGAAGCAGUCGCCCCGCAUCCUCCACAAGUACCCCAAUGACCCCGCUGUGCUCUCCUGUGUUCAUGACGGGGGUAUUGACUAUGGUACCAUCUACUGGUACCAACAGACGAGUGGCCACGGUGGGCUGAAGCUGAUGACCUACUCCCUCAGCAAUGGUGAUCCUUUUGAUGAAGAUGAGUUUAAAGGAAGAUUAAACACCACCAGAGACGGUGCUCAGAAAGGCUGGCUCACCAUCAAACGUUUGAAGGCGAGUGACACAGGAAUGUAUUUCUGCGCAGCAAGUUACGCACAGCGACACAGGACUUUGCAAGCCUUUACACAAAUCUCCUCCUAGGUUUGUUAUCAUGGUUUCGAUUUCUUAGGUUGUUUAUUGUGCAGUUUCUGCAUACCAUACCAUCCAUGUGUUGUAUAAAUUAUAAUACACAUCAAAGCCAUCAUAAGCUUCAUUCAGUAUUUUAAAAAAUUACGUCCUGUAAAAAAGGAAAGACCAGCCUAUCAUGCUAAUUAGGUCGGCCUAACGGAAGAUGUUCAGUUUGUUUCCUCGCCCAUAAUAAGAAGGUGUAAGUAAUAAAUACAUAGUUUUAUGCAAAAGUAAUCCUUCGGGUUUACUAUUAUGGGAUAAUUGUUUUUUUCAGUGACCUUUACUCCUAAUUAAUGGCAAGAACAGGUUCUCAUUCUUAACUACAAAUGCGAUGCUAUUAAAAAAUAAUGAAAUAUCAGGUAUUAGACUACAACAAAUGUAAAGAGAAACAAAAGCACUGUCACUCAACCCUAAAUUGGUACCUUUAUGCAGCAGACAUUUAUAAAAUAG